rnacentral:misc_RNA from 1 species
CAAUUUUCCUUUUUUAUUUCUCUUUUAUUUUUCUAUUUUAUCGGGGGGACGGCCUCGAAACGAGCUUUCCGAAAAGUACUCACGGGGCCCGUGAGUCCAUCGGGAUCGAAAGUUAGGCACGUGAACGUAGAGACGCGCGAAUUAUGUUUACCAAGCAAUUUUCAUUUUUGUAUUUCGCCGUAUGUAAGUAGUAUUUCGUUAACUGAGUCGGGUUCGGGAAAUUACGUUAAUUGAGUCGCUUAAAAGCCGGAAGUUGAACACUCUAGACUUCUCUCGAGAAGAGAAAUUGAAUCGCUUCAAGUAAAUUUGCAAUGCAUAACAUGAC